rnacentral:lncRNA from 1 species
AGUCUUAGGAAACAAAAUAUUUAUUGAAAUGGUAUGUAGAUAAAUUAUCACCGGCAUAAAACUGUUAGUGGAGUUCUCAACAUGGGUUCUUUUUACUUUUAAAGUGAAGUGAGGCUUUGCAAGUCCAUUGUCCCAUAGGAAAAAUAUUAUCUUUUUCUUUUCAGAUAAAGUUCUUUAAAAAAGUAAAUCACUUUUGAAAUGGUCUUUUAUACGUCUCCAGCCUAUGAUCAAAACAAAAAAUACAUUAAAAAGAUAUAAUUAUCUCCAUUAAAAAAGAAUAAUUAAAUAGGAAUGAUUGAGAGGUAAUGAAAUACCUAGGCAUUUGAAUUCCUAAAGUCUGCUCCUGUUA